rnacentral:lncRNA from 1 species
GCUGCGGCCGGUGUCGCGGGUGGGGAGACCCCGAGGUGCUACCUGGGCGUGGCGGGUGGGCAGGCGGCCCGGGCGAGGGGCUCGCAGCCUGGGCGUCAGCGUGGUCAUGGCCGUCGUGGCUUCCGCCGCGGGCCUCGGCGCAGAGAUCCUAGGGCCGCGGCGCCCUUCCGGUCCCGCCAGUGGUGCCACCCGGCCGCCCCGCCGUCGCGUGCGCGGGUCGCCAUGGCAUGCUGCAGGCGCCUCCUUCCCGGCACCUGCUCAGCUGCUCCUCCCCGCGCCCCCACCUGGCUCCCGCGUGAGCCUGGGCAGCGCCCCAGGCAGGCCGCCCCCGCCAGCCCUCGCUGCGCGGCGUGCGCCCCCUGCGCCCCCAGUACUGAUCCAGCUUCGCGGGGGAGACGCGCACCCGCCUCCUGCCUUUAGCCGGGCCAGGAGCUCUGGGGCCCUUCUGGAGCACCCGGGAGCCACCUGUGCACUUCUCAGUCGCCACGGCCCCGGUGCAGGCCUGGCAGGAGAAGGAUCCCCGCGGAAAUGCCUCUACUAACUCAGCCCCUUUCUGCACUCUCUGCUCUUCUCUGGGCGCGCUCUCGCCUUACUUAUUCCUGUGUGGUUCAGGCGCUGCGGAAGGAGAAGGCACCUAGACUGUACUGGGAAGGCUCCUGGAGUUGACCUGGAGCGCCAGGAAAGGUCAGUGGAGGAAAGUGCUCCAAGCAGAGGGAAGAGCUUGUGCCAAGGCCCUGAGACCCCGGCGGGGGAGCCUAAUAAUGGCAGGUAACAGUCAGCACUUGCCACGCGCGAGGCAUGUUCUCAGUGUGUGUCUUGUGUCAUUUCUGUGAUGCUUGCACAUCGUCAGGGGGUACCUACCACUGGAACCUCCUCUUUUAACAAAUGAGGAAACUGAGGCACACAGCGGUUAAGGGACUUACGCUAGGUCACACAGCAGUAGAGCUGGGCUGGGGCAGGGGGCAGCUCCUCAAGUGGAACCUGGAGAGCCCACGGGGCAAAUGGCGGAGGCUGGAGGGGCUGGCAAGGGAGGGACUGCAAAGGGCCUCACAGGGGCUAGACGAGGGCCCUGGGCACCAGUGAUUAUGGUGCCCCCCCAUGUGGAUUGAAGAUUAAACCUCGAAGCAAGUGUAUAAUGCCCCCAAAAAUCACAUUUAGAAGUCAUCACUUCAAUAAAAAUUUCUAUAUUAAAUAAAAAAAAAAAAAA